rnacentral:rRNA from 1 species
AUACGGAGGGUGCAAGCGUUAAUCGGAAUUACUGGGCGUAAAGAGUACGUAGGUGGUUUAUUAAGUCAGAUGUGAAAGCCCCGGGCUCAACCUGGGAACUGCAUUUGAAACUAGUAAACUAGAGUAUGGUAGAGGGGGGUAGAAUUUCUAGUGUAGCGGUGAAAUGCGUAGAUAUUAGAAGGAAUACCAGUGGCGAAGGCGGCCCCCUGGACCAAUACUGACACUGAGGUACGAAAGCGUGGGGAGCAAACAGGAUUAGAUACCCUAGUAGUCC